rnacentral:rRNA from 1 species
UACGUAGGUGGCAAGCGUUGUCCGGAAUUAUUGGGCGUAAAGCGCGCGCAGGCGGCUUCUUAAGUCUGAUGUGAAAUCUCGGGGCUCAACCCCGAGCGGCCAUUGGAAACUGGGAAGCUUGAGUAACAGAAGAGGAGAGUGGAAUUCCACGUGUAGCGGUGAAAUGCGUAGAUAUGAUGGAGGAACACCAGUGGCGAAGGCGACUCUCUGGUCUGUAACUGACGCUGAGGCGCGAAAGCGUGGGGAGCAAACAGG